rnacentral:rRNA from 1 species
AUUGAACGCUGGCGGCAUGCCUUACACAUGCAAGUCGAACGGUAACGGGCCUUCGGGUGCCGACGAGUGGCGAACGGGCGAGUAAUACAUCGGAACGUGCCCGAUCGUGGGGGAUAACGAGGCGAAAGCUUUGCUAAUACCGCAUACGAUCUACGGAUGAAAGCAGGGGACCGCAAGGCCUUGCGCGGGCGGAGCGGCCGGUGGCAGAUUGGGUUGUUGGUGGGAUAAAAGCUUACCAAGCCGACGAUCUGUAGCGGGUCUGAGAGGAUGAUCAGCCACACUGGGACUGGGACACGGCCCAGACUCCUACGGGAGGCAGCAGUGGGGAAUUUUGGACAAUGGGCGCAAGCCUGAUCCAGCCAUGCCGCGUGCAGGAUGAAGGCCUUCGGGUUGUAAACUGCUUUUGUACGGAACGAAAAGCCUUCUUUUAAUACAGGAGGGUCAUGACGGUACCGUAAGAAUAAGCACCGGCUAACUACGUG